rnacentral:rRNA from 1 species
UACGUAGGGUGCGAGCGUUGUCCGGAAUUAUUGGGCGUAAAGAGCUUGUAGGCGGUUUGUCGCGUCUGCCGUGAAAAUUCGAGGCUCAACCUCGAACUUGCGGUGGGUACGGGCAGACUAGAGUGUGGUAGGGGAGACUGGAAUUCCUGGUGUAGCGGUGAAAUGCGCAGAUAUCAGGAGGAACACCGGUGGCGAAGGCGGCUCACUGGCUCGUAACUGACGCUCAUGCACGACAGCGUGGGGAUCAAACAGG